rnacentral:tRNA from 1 species
GGUGACUCAUUCAGUAAAGUGCCUGCCUUAUAAGCAUGAGGACCUGAGUUCAAUCCUCAGGACCA